UUGAAAUUUAGGACUAACAUUGUGUAAUUUAUUUAUUUUCAGGUACCCCCGCCAGAAGGACGGAAGCAUCGAGUCGCUGAGGAGCCUAAGGAGUCAUCACAGAUGCAAAUUGCCGGUCGUCAGGAAGAGGAGUUGCGUAGAGUAAUCCCACGCAGCUGUCAUUGCAUUUUUAUUGAGCUGCUGGCAUUAUGUGGUGGAGUUCGUUUUAUCAUCUGCUAUCUAUUAUCUAUUAUCAUCUGCUACUUUGUCUGUCCGGUUAGCGGAGAAUUCGUUGAAGAUACGAUACUGAGGAGAAUUAUUCGUUUUAAGGACAAAUUUUGCAGCUUAUUAAUGUGGCAUCAGCGCCGCGCUAUGCAGUGGCGUCAGGAGAAGGAGACGGCAUCAUAAAAUUGUCAACUUUUUGUGUUUAAAAUCGCCAAAGUUGGUGAUUUUGUUUUGCUUUUGCGGUGCCUGUCUCUUGUUGUCGGUUGUGUUGAAGGAUUUACGUGCGUGGCGUCAGGAGGAUGGAGUCGCAUAUAUGAUGGAGUCGCAUAUAUGUAAACUU